rnacentral:lncRNA from 1 species
AUCAACUUGGCUUAUGAAUUUCUUAAAACUUUGGCUCGUGCCAAAACUCAUACUCCGUGAUACCUUGAGCAGUGCAUCCAACCGAGUCCGCCAAGGCUGUUAAAAUUUUUUUAUACACUUAAAAUAUAUUUUUAGUUUGAGAAAAAUACAGCUGUUCCUUAGCGUUGGCUGAGUUCCCCUUCACGUGGUGGUUUGGCGUGAAGUGAACCCUAAGCUUUACCCCAAGAGAUACCCUACACGCCUCUCCGUUCGAGGUAAGAAUAUAAUGGAGUUUACCGUGCCCCUCUAAUAGGUUGAUCCACGGAACCCCCUCUGCAGUGAAUAAUUAAUAUAUAAUUCACCAAUCAAUAAAAUUCAUUCUAGCAUGACAUGGCAAUUUAUCGCAACCUAGCCUCUCAAGGCUGAAUACACAGUAUAAA